GUUUUGCAGGUGUAACCCCCAUUGUGUUCAGUGGGGGUUUUGGUGGAGCUUGUCUUUGGCUUGUGGUGUACCUAAUAGACUUGUUAAAUCCAGGAUACAGGUUCCACAAAGGCAUCCGAAAAGGCCAUUGAUCAUCUGUAUACCACAAAGGAUGAUCUGCAGAAUGCUGACGAAAAACAGUACUGAGAACAGACCACUAUUAAAUUUCACCACGUUCUUUGGCUCAGUGCAUUUUUCCCAUGAAGCGCGGUCUUUAAGGGAGUUAUCCAUUCAUCACCAACUUUACAGAGGGGCCCAUGAUAAAGGCCCAACACUGCCACUGAGAAACUAUAGAGGGCACCAGCAACACCCACGGCUGCAAGUAUAAUGGACAGAAACAUCUAAAACAGAAAAUGGGCAUCAGAGUAUUUACUAUUCAGUUGAACUGUUCUUAAACCACUAAGCAAGCAUUUCAAAAUAAUUUUUGGAGUUCUUUGUUCCUGUCCUGAUGACCGGUUAAAGGAUCAAACAAGAAGCAAAACCACAAAUGUAUAUGUGUAUUUUUAUGCUGCUGCUGUUUCCUGUUGUUUCAUUUGUCAGGUGUUGCACAUUUUUAUGCUUGUUUUAGUUCCUGGAUCUUUAUGGUAUUGGGAUUCUUCAAGUUUGAUUAAAAUAGUCAUUGCAUAUGGGUUCAAAUUUAAAGUGGAUCAUGUAACACAACUUCCUUUUUAUUUUAUCUCGAGUUAGUUUAGCGCAGGUGCUUUCUCAUAACUGAAUUUCUAAAGGAUUGUAGACAUUAUUAAAUGGCAAAUAAAAAAUAAAUGAGUAUGUUGGUGGGUUUGUA